rnacentral:sRNA from 1 species
UGUCCACAGGUCCUAGGGCAGUUCA